rnacentral:rRNA from 1 species
UGACCUCAGAUCAGGCAAG